CAGAGAAUAGUUUAUAAAAAUAUUAAUUUUGGGAAUUAAAGAAGGGAGAAAUUUUCUUCUCUGA
rnacentral:tRNA from 1 species